rnacentral:misc_RNA from 1 species
UGCGGAGGAUCAUUAUCAUACAACUGAGGUGCAACGGCUGUCGCUGACCUUCAAAGGUUGUGCACGCCCAAGUGCUCUCACACAAUCCAUCUCACCCUUUGUGCAUCACCGCGUGGGUCCCCCUUUUCAAGGAGGGCUUGCGUCUUUACAUAAAACUCAAUACAGUGUAGAAUGUUUAUUUUUGCGAUCACACGCAAUCAAUACAACUUUCAACAACGGAUCUCUUGGCUCUCGCAUCGAUGAAGAACGCAGCGAAAUGCGAUACGUAAUGUGAAUUGCAGAAUUCAGUGAAUCAUCGAAUCUUUGAACGCACCUUGCGCCCCUUGGCAUUCCGAGGGGCACACCCGUUUGAGUGUCGUGAAAUUAUCAAAACCCUUUUCUUUGAUCCUUUUUGGUCGGGAAAAGGACUUUUGGACUUGGAGGUUUCAAUGCUUGCUUUUGCCUUUGAAAGUGAGCUCCUCUCAAAUGAAUUAGUAGGGUCCGCUUUGCCGAUCCUUGACGUGAUAAGAUGUUUCUACGUUUUGGAUUUGGCACUGUCCCUUGGACGUCUGCUUCUAACUGUCUCAUUGACAAAAAGUUGGUGCUCCGGUCAACUGCCAUCUAUGUUGGCAGGAGGCUGGACCCACGA